AUUGAACGCUGGCGGCAUGCCUAACACAUGCAAGUCGAGCGGAGCGGCGGACGGGUGAGUAAUGCCUGGGAAUCUGCCUGGUAGUGGGGAAUAACGUCCGGAAACGGGCGCUAAUCCCGCAUCCUAUCAGAUGAGCCUAGGUCGGAUUAGCUAGUUGGUGGGGCAAUGGCCUACCAAGGCGACGAUCCGUAACUGGUCUGAGAGGAUGAUCAGUCAAACUGGAACUGAGACACGGUCCAGACUCCUACGGGAGGCAGCAGUGGGGAAUAUUGGACAAUGGGCGAAAGCCUGAUCGAGCAAUGCCGCGUGUGUGAAGAAGGUCUUCGGAUUGUAAAGCACUUUAAGUUGGGAGGCGUUACCAACAGAGUAAGCACCGGCUAACUACGUGCCAGCAGCCGCGGUAAUUC
rnacentral:rRNA from 1 species